AAGGCACAGAGAACUUCAAACAGUAAACGUGAGAACAUCAAAUGUCAAGGGAUUAUGGCUCUGCAAAACCAAGAGCCUAACAGAGAGAGAGAGAGAGAGAGAGAGAGAGAGAAAUGAAGAGAGGGAGUGACAUGACGAGCAGAACAACAGAGGAAAUAUCAGCCUCCACAUGAUGCCAGACCAUCGAUUGAAAUUCAGAUGUGAAUCCAGGAUGGCUAAAUUUAUCCACCUGAUCUCUGACUUGCCCAUACCUUGCCGGAGGACAUGUACUGCUCUGCCCAUAAAUAUUAUCACAACUUCACUCCGCAAAAACAGAUGAAGAGCACAUACAGUACACUCACUUACUCACAAACGCAGAUGCACUGCAUGCAUGCCAAGACUACAGGCAGGCGCCAUGAUGGACAGAUGGAAAGGGGACGCUCAACAAGUGUAAAGUGCAGAGGAAGUUAGCUGGAGCAGCGCUGCGCAGAGAGAGAGAAAGAGAGAGAGAGAGAGAGAGAGAGAGAGAGAGAGAG
ensembl:lncRNA